GCCGAUCAAUGCAUUUGAAUGGGGACAUAUAGUUGGAACCUCCCUUUUUAAAAUGACUGGAUCCGCCCCUGGUGCUAAUUUAAACAAAAACAUUUUGGUGAUGGCGUUGAAAAGUAAAUAGUUAAUAUACUAAAAAAAGAACAUACCGCCCCCUUUAUGAAGCAAAAUAUUCGGUCAAUAAAUGUUUUCUUCAAUAUAUGGACAUGAAUAGUAUUUUGGACAAUGCUGAAAGUAAAGAAAGGAUGAUACUGACGUGAACAUUUCAAUAAAAAUAAGACAGGAAAUAAGUAAAUAAAAAUCAAAUCUAAUAUCAAAAGAUAAAAUCCCUAUCAACUCACCAAUGCACGAUUGAUCCUAUAAACAAAAAGUGUUCAUGUAAUACACGUCCAAAUAAGAAGCUAAUCUAGAAGAAAAUCAUUCAACUUAUGUCAUCAAUUUUGGGCGGUAAGCUGCGAUUGGAUCAUAUAGUAACACGUGUUUAAUCCCGAUCAACACUUGGAGAUCUAGAGACGAGCAUGAAUUUAAAAAAAAAAUCAAAGUAUAUUAUUGUAUAGCAAUAUAAUAUUUCCCACAGAAAGUAACCAAAAGUAAGCGUGCAAUAAAUUCUAUUAUUGUAUAGCAAUAUAAUAUUUCCCACAGAAAGUAACCAAAAGUUAGCGUGCAAUAAAUUCUAAUAUUGCACUAGUGCAAUAAAUCUUCAAAAUUGAUGACGUCAUCAACGACAAAAUCUUAGUUUAAACCAAUU
rnacentral:lncRNA from 1 species